rnacentral:pre_miRNA from 1 species
UGAGUAAGUGGAGUAGUGGUCUCUUCACUUUUAUUAGAACAGUGAGAUUCAACUCCUCCAUCUUAUUUUA